AUUGAACGCUGGCGGCAGGCCUAACACAUGCAAGUCGAACGCGUGGCGGACGGGUGAGUAAUGUCUGGGAAACUGCCCGAUGUAGGGGGGUAAAUACAGGAAACGGUAGCUAAUACCGCAUAUCAUCGGAUGUGACCCGAUGGGGUUAGCUUGUAGGUGAGGUAACGGCGCACCUAGGCGACGAUCCCUAGCUGGUCUGAGAGGAGGAUCAGCCACACUGGAACUGAGACACGGUCCAGACUCCUACGGGAGGCAGCAGUGGGGAAUAUUGCACAAUGGGCGCAAGCCUGAUGCAGCCAUGCCGCGUGUAUGAAGAAGGCCUUCGGGUUGUAAAGUACUUUCAGCGGGGAGGCGUUACCCGCAGAAGAAGCACCGGCUAACUCCGUGCCAGCAGCCGCGGUAAUUC
rnacentral:rRNA from 1 species